rnacentral:rRNA from 1 species
AACGAACGCUAUCGGUAUGCUUAACACAUGCAAGUCGGACGGACUAAUUAUGGCUUUCUCCAAUUAGUUAGUGGCAGACGGGUGAGUAACACGUGGGAAUCUUCCCAUCAGUACUGAAUAACUUUUAGAAAUAAAAGCUAAUACCGUAUAUUCUCUACAUAGGAAAGAUUUAUCGCUGAUGGAUGGGCCCGCGUCAGAUUAGGUAGUGGGUGAGGUAACUGCUCACCAAGCCGACGAUAUGUAGCUGGUCUGAGAGGAUGAUCAGCUACACUGGGACUGAGACACGGACCAGACUGCUACGGGAGGGAGCAGUGGGGAGUAUUAGACGAUGGGCGAAAGCCUGAUCCAGCAAUACCGAGUGAGUGAGAAAGGCCCUAGGGUUGUAAAGCUCUUUUAGCAAGGAAGAUAAUGACGUUAAUUGCAGAAAAAGCACCGGCUAACUCCGUG